UACGUAGGGUGCGAGCGUUAAUCGGAAUUACUGGGCGUAAAGCGUGCGUAGGCGGUUGCACAAGCUCGAUGUGAAAGCCCCGGGCUUAACCUGGGAAUGGCAUUGAGGACUGUGUGGCUUGAGUGCGGCAGAGGGAGGUGGAAUUCCAGGUGUAGCAGUGAAAUGCGUAGAGAUCUGGAGGAACACCGAUGGCGAAGGCAGCCUCCUGGGCCGACACUGACGCUGAGGGCACGAAAGCGUGGGGAGCAAACGGG
rnacentral:rRNA from 1 species